GUGAGGAAUAUUGGUCAAUGGCCGAGAGGCUGAACCAGCCAAGUCGCGUGAAGGAAGAAGGAUCUAUGGUUUGUAAACUUCUUUUAUAGGGGAAUAAAGUGGAGGACGUGUCCUUUUUUGUAUGUACCCUAUGAAUAAGCAUCGGCUAACUCCGUGCCAGCAGCCGCGGUAAUACGGAGGAUGCGAGCGUUAUCCGGAUUUAUUGGGUUUAAAGGGUGCGUAGGUGGUGAUUUAAGUCAGCGGUGAAAGUUUGUGGCUCAACCAUAAAAUUGCCGUUGAAACUGGGUUACUUGAGUGUGUUUGAGGUAGGCGGAAUGCGUGGUGUAGCGGUGAAAUGCAUAGAUAUCACGCAGAACUCCGAUUGCGAAGGCAGCUUACUAAACCAUAACUGACACUGAAGCACGAAAGCGUGGGGAUCAAACAGGAUUAGAAACCCCGGUAGUCC
rnacentral:rRNA from 1 species